rnacentral:lncRNA from 1 species
UAUAAAAAUAUUUUCAGUAUGUUAUUUAGACAUGUAAGAACAAGAAAAGGAUAUAAAUUAUUCACUUAAGGUUAAGUUAAAAACUUUUACUAAUUUUAACAUUUCAAAUUUGGAUAUAUGAAAAGAAUAGGUAAGAAUCUACUGUAAGUGAUCCUUACAAAGAUUGAGGAAACUAAGCAGGUUAUUACUAUUAUUUUCUUUUAUAAAAAUCAUCAGUACAACUUUUGUUGUGUGUAUAAUUACAGAAUAUCAGGAACUUUGUAAAACUUGUAUUUUCUCAGUUAAAAUCAAAACUUACUAACACAAAGUGUUUUGAUCCUGAUAAUAAUCGUAUCAGUAUUAAAGAUUUCAUAAUGAUUUAAGUUGAGAUAAACCUUUAAUGAAGGAGUAGAAAACCCACUAAUUCAUUUCUGACUUUUGAAGUACCCCUUUCAUAAAUAUAAUGCACUAUAUGCAGUUUUUCAGAGUCACUAAAGAUAUCAUGCUAAGAAGUAUAACAGGUCAACUCAUCAAACACUAUUUUCAAACAGUUGUCAUGCUUAGUAACCUACUUUAUUAAUUAGUUAAUUGCUAAUUACUAACUAGCUUUUAUCACAUGUUUCUGCUGCUCAUCUGUUGCCAUCUUCAAGAAAGUCCUAAGAAUAACUGGUGGUGGUGGCCACAAUUUGAACCUAGUUCUUUUUGAUAGAAAGGCUUGUGUGCUAUCCACUAUUCUCGGGUGGGCCACGAGCUUACCAAGGAGAGACCCACAUUAAAACCACAUGGUGGAGAUGUGGCAGAACUCUUUCCCCAGUGUAUGAGGGAGUACCUGAGGAAGGGCUGGGUCAUGCCCUGGAGCAUUCCAGACAAGUCACUGUAUAGGAUAAGCAGAUUUGGAGUGAGAUAGUGCUAUGUUUGAUGCAUGAUCCUGAGCUUGUGUUAAUAAAGUGGUCAGUGAUGAGGGGCAGCUGCAAUGGUCAGCCAAGACAUUAACAUUCUGGUCACUUGGUUAAGAUAAUAAGCCAUCUUAGACGUCGUCACUUGGUCAAGAAACCAAUAACUGAAGAAAUGUUGCUGCCUUUACUCUGGAUUAUCGAGUGGUAGUCCAAAAAAACUGUGGACAAAUUUUAAAUUGUCCGCUAGAUCAAAACAGCUAAGAUGGUCAUGUAUUUGAAAGAACAUUGCAUUCCUUGCUUUCUGAGCUACAAUUACCACAGAUAGGUCAGUUUUUUUUUACAAAAUGACAGUCUUAUGUUCCCUUAUAUUGAGUAGUAGCUGUUCUACUGAACUGGCUGUGUGGUUCUCAAGAAAAUUGUCACAUGUGCACUUAAUUGUGCAUGAAUCCUCCAUGUGCAGUGAGAGAGUUGACUUGGGUGACUUAUUUCCCUGAGGUUACAUAUAUUUACUUUUUUAUAUUGACUUGUGUAAGGUGAUGAAGCAUACCAAUGGUUUGGAGUUGGUGGCCAUUUUGGACAGUGAAGACACAUCCAUUGUGGAACAACUGUAUUUAACUCAAGUUGGUUAAAGUAAGCACUGAUAUACAAGGUAGCAAAAGAACUAAUAUUAAUUCUGAUGAAAAGCAUUUGAAUGAAUAGUAUAGUUCAACUAAAUUCUAUCAGUAGUUAUUUUGUGAGGCCUGCAGAGUACAAUAAGUUUUUAUCAUUUGCAGGGGGCAGCACAUUACUAAACUGUAAAUAUCGAUUUAUUUAUAAAAGUAGCCCAAAUUAGCUACUGAGGUAAUGGUGCACAAGCUCUAGACAGUAUAUCAAAAGCUACUACUUAGUGGUAAAAGAAAAUGGGUUUGAUCUUUCAUGGUCUAAUUUCUAGCUGAUUCAGUUGCCCCCUUGAAUGGCUGCCAAAUGUAUGUUGGCAAGCCCCAACUGACUACAUGGAGGGAAGUCUGCAAACUGAAAAAUACCAAGAAGAUACAGGUUUGAAUCCUGCCCACAACCACCAGAGAAACAGUCAUUCUUAGAACUUCUCUGAAGAUGGCAGCCAAAAUGCAAGAUAAACACUAGUUACAAAGUGUACUCUAUGGACCUGUUGAAUUUAAUUCUGUAAACUACAGGCACACACCUCAAGUGUGACUUCCCAAUUGAACAAUGAACAAAGAUAGUGGAAUUCUAUAUCACCACAAAAUCCUACAAAAAACAACAAAAUAAUCACUACUGUUGUCACUGCAAUGUUCAAAUUCGACUUCUUUCUAUGGGGUUACUUGCCUGAGAAGACAAGGACGUCACAUCGACACAUCUUGCAUACCAAUAAUAAGGACAAUUAGAAAAACAUUUUCAA